AAAGGAAUAGACGGGGGCCCGCACAAGCGGAGGAGCAUGUGGCUUAAUUCGAUGCAACGCGAAGAACCUUACCAGGACUUGACAUGCAACUGCACGUCCCGUGAAAGUGGGACUCCUUCGAGGGUGUUGCACAGGUGCUGCAUGCCUGUCGUCAGUUCGUGCCGUGAGGUGUUGGGUUAAGUCCCGCAACGAACGCAACCCUUGUGUUUAGUUGCCACCGCCGGUGAUGAAUCGGCGAGCACUCUAAACAGACUGCCCAUAUCAAAUGGGAGGAAGGUGGGGAUGACGUCAAGUCAGUAUGGCCUUUAUGUCCUGGGCUGCACACGUGCUACAAUGGCCGGCACAAUGGGAAGCAAUACCGCGAGGUGGAGCCAAUCCUCAAAAACCGGUCUCAGUUCAGAUUGGAGUCUGCAACUCGACUCCAUGAAGUUGGAUUCGCUAGUAACGGCGCAUCAGCUACGGCGCCGUGAAUACGUUCCCGGGCCUUGUACACACCGCCCGU
rnacentral:rRNA from 1 species